GCGUUCGUAGCUCAGAUGGAUAGAGCAUUGGUUUGCGGUACCAACGGUCAGGGGUUCGAGUCCCUUCGAGCGCA
rnacentral:tRNA from 1 species